rnacentral:rRNA from 1 species
AUGAACGCUAGCUACAGGCUUAACCCCUGCAAGUCGAGGGGCAGCAUGGUCUUAGCUUGCUAAGGCCGAUGGCGACCGGCGCACGGGUGAGUAACACGUAUCCAACCUGCCGUCUACUCUUGGACAGCCUUCUGAAAGGAAGAUUAAUACAAGAUGGCAUCAUGAGUCCGCAUGUUCACAUGAUUAAAGGUAUUCCGGUAGACGAUGGGGAUGCGUUCCAUUAGAUAGUAGGCGGGGUAACGGCCCACCUAGUCUUCGAUGGAUAGGGGUUCUGAGAGGAAGGUCCCCCACAUUGGAACUGAGACACGGUCCAAACUCCUACGGGAGGCAGCAGUGAGGAAUAUUGGUCAAUGGGCGAGAGCCUGAACCAGCCAAGUAGCGUGAAGGAUGACUGCCCUAUGGGUUGUAAACUUCUUUUAUAAAGGAAUAAAGUCGGGUAUGGAUACCCGUUUGCAUGUACUUUAUGAAUAAGGAUCGGCUAACUCCGUG